AUUGAACGCUGGCGGCAGGCCUAACACAUGCAAGUCGAGCGGAUGACGGGAGCUUGCUCCUUGAUUCAGCGGCGGACGGGUGAGUAAUGCCUAGGAAUCUGCCUGGUAGUGGGGGACAACGUUUCGAAAGGAACGCUAAUACCGCAUACGUCCUACGGGAGAAAGCAGGGGACCUUCGGGCCUUGCGCUAUCAGAUGAGCCUAGGUCGGAUUAGCUUGUUGGUGAGGUAAUGGCUCACCAAGGCGACGAUCCGUAACUGGUAUGAGAGGAUGAUCAGUCACACUGGAACUGAGACACGGUCCAGACUCCUACGGGAGGCAGCAGUGGGGAAUAUUGGACGAUGGGCGAAAGCCUGAUCCAGCCAUGCCGCGUGUGUGAAGAAGGUCUUCGGAUUGUAAAGCACUUUAAGUUGGGAGGAAGGGUUGUAGAUUAAUACUCUGCAAUUUUGACGUUACCGACAGAAUAAGCACCGGCUAACUCUGUGCCAGCAGCCGCAGUAAGAC
rnacentral:rRNA from 1 species